AGUGAACGUUGGCGGCGUGGGUUAGGCAUGCAAGUCGAGCGAGAACCGUAGCAAUACGGGGACAGCGGCGAAAGGGACAGUAAUGUGUAGGUACCUACCUCCGGGUUCGGGAUAGCUGCGGGAAACUGCAGGUAAUACCGAAUAACGUCUCCGGACCAAAGGUGUGGUUCCACCUGGAGAGGGGCCUGCAUCCUAUUAGCUUGUUGGCAGGGUAACGGCCCACCAAGGCGACGAUGGGUAGCGGGUGUGAGAGCACGACCCGCGUCAUUGGGACUGAGACACUGCCCCGACACCGACGGGUGGCUGCAGUCGUGAAUCUUCGGCAAUGGGCGCAAGCCUGACCGAGCGACGCCGCGUGCGGGAUGAAGGCCUUCGGGUUGUAAACCGCUGUCGUAGAGGAGGAAAUGCAGGGGGGUUCUCCCCUCUGUUUGACCUAUUCUAGGAGGAAGUACGGGCUAAGUUCGUGCCAGCCGCCGCCGUAA
rnacentral:rRNA from 1 species